UACGGAGGGGGCUAGCGUUGUUCGGAAUUACUGGGCGUAAAGCGCACGUAGGCGGAUUGGAAAGUUGGGGGUGAAAUCCCGGGGCUCAACCCCGGAACUGCCUUCAAAACUCCCAGUCUGGAGGUCGAGAGAGGUGAGUGGAAUUCCGAGUGUAGAGGUGAAAUUCGUAGAUAUUAGGAAGAACACCAGUGGCGAAGGCGGCUCACUGGCCCGGUACUGACGCUGAGGCGCGAAAGCGUGGGGAGCAAACAGG
rnacentral:rRNA from 1 species